UACAGAGGUCUCAAGCGUUGUUCGGAUUCAUUGGGCGUAAAGGGUGCGUAGGCGGCGCGGUAAGUCGGGUGUGAAAUCUCGGAGCUUAGCUCCGAAACUGCAUUCGAUACUGCCGUGCUUGAGGACUGGAGAGGAGACUGGGAAUUUACGGUGUAGCGGUGAAAUGCGUAGAUAAUCGUAAGGAAGACCAGUGGCGAAGGCGGGUCUCUGGACAGUUCCUGACGCUGAGGCACGAAGGUCAGGGGAGCAAACGGG
rnacentral:rRNA from 1 species